rnacentral:rRNA from 1 species
CCUACGGGAGACAGCAGUGGGGGAUAUUGGACAAUGGGGGGAACCCUGCUCCAGCGACGCCGCGUGAGUGAAGACGUAUUUCUGUAUGUAAAGCUCUGUCAGCAGGGAAGAAAGAAAUGACGGUACCUGACCCAGAAGCCCCGGCUAACUACGUGCCAGCCGCCGCGGUAAUACGUAGGGGGCAAGCGUUAUCCGGAAUUACUGGGUGUAAAGGGAUCGUAGACGGUUAAGUAAGUCUGGAGUGAAAGGGCGGGGCCCAACCCCGGGACUGCUCUGGAGACUAUUGAACUGGAGUGCAGGAGAGGUAAGCGGAAUGCAUAGUGUAGCGGUGAAAUGCGUAGAGAUGAGGAGGAACACCAGUGGCGAAGGCGGCUUACUGGACUGUAACUGACGUUGAGGCUCGAAAGCGUGGGGAGCAAACAGGAUUAGAUACCCCUGUAGUC